GCCUGCCCAAUGAUUUUUAAUGGCUGCAGUAUUUUGACUGUACAAAGGUAGCAUAAUCAUUUGUUUUUUAAUUGGAAACUGGAAUGAAUGGUUGGAUAAAAGAUAUUCUUUCUUUAUUUUAUAAAUUUAAAUUAAUUUUUAAGUCAAAAAGCUUAAAUGUUUUUAUAAGACGAUAAGACCCUAUAGAACUUUACUUUAUUUUAUUAUAUUUAUUUAUAAGUAGUAUAUAUCAUUAAAAAUAGUGAAUUUAAAGUUGGAUUGGGGUGAUUAAAAAAAUAUAUUAACUUUUUUUUAUUUUUUCAUUUAUAUAUGUAUAUUUGAUCUAAAAGUUUUUGAUUAUAAGAUUAAGUUACCUUAGGGAUAACAGCGUUAUUAUUCUGGAGAGUUCAUAUUGAUAGAUUAGUUUGCGACCUCGAUGUUGGAUUAAAAUAAGUAUUGGGUG
rnacentral:rRNA from 1 species